rnacentral:rRNA from 1 species
UUCGCCCUUAGAGUUUGAUCCUGGCUCAGGACGAACGCUGGCGGCGUGCUUAACACAUGCAAGUCGAACGAGAAUCUGCUGAAGGAGGAUUCGUCCAACGGAAGCAGAGGAAAGUGGCGGACGGGUGAGUAACGCGUGAGGAACCUGCCUUGAAGAGGGGGACAACAGUUGGAAACGACUGCUAAUACCGCAUGACGCAUAGAGGUCGCAUGAUCUUUAUGCCAAAGAUUUAUCGCUUCAAGAUGGCCUCGCGUCUGAUUAGCUGGUUGGCGGGGUAACGGCCCACCAAGGCGACGAUCAGUAGCCGGACUGAGAGGUUGAACGGCCACAUUGGGACUGAGAUACGGCCCAGACUCCUACGGGAGGCAGCAGUGGGGAAUAUUGGGCAAUGGGCGCAAGCCUGACCCAGCAACGCCGCGUGAAGGAAGAAGGCUUUCGGGUUGUAAACUUCUUUUAAGAGGGAAGAGGAGAAGACGGUACCUCUAGAAUAAGCCACGGCUAACUACGUGCCAGCAGCCGCGGUAAUACGUAGGUGGCAAGCGUUGUCCGGAUUUACUGGGUGUAAAGGGCGUGCAGCCGGGUCUGCAAGUCAGAUGUGAAAUCCAUGGGCUCAACCCAUGAACUGCAUUUGAAACUGUGGAUCUUGAGUGUCGGAGGGGCAAUCGGAAUUCCUAGUGUAGCGGUGAAAUGCGUAGAUAUUAGGAGGAACACCAGUGGCGAAGGCGGAUUGCUGGACGAUAACUGACGGUGAGGCGCGAAAGUGUGGGGAGCAAACAGGAUUAGAUACCCUGGUAGUCCACACCGUAAACGAUGAAUACUAGGUGUAGGGGCCCCAAGCCUCUGUGCCGCCGCUAACGCAUUAAGUAUUCCGCCUGGGGAGUACGGUCGCAAGAUUAAAACUCAAAGGAAUUGACGGGGACCCGCACAAGCAGCGGAGCAUGUGGUUUAAUUCGAAGCAACGCGAAGAACCUUACCUAGACUUGACAUGUCCUGAAUUACCAGUAAUGUGGGAAGUUCCUUCGGGAACAGGAACACAGGUGGUGCAUGGUUGUCGUCAGCUCGUGUCGUGAGAUGUUGGGUUAAGUCCCGCAACGAGCGCAACCCUUAUUGUUAGUUGGUACCAUUAAGUUGACCACUCUAGCGAGACUGCCCGGGUUAACCGGGAGGAAGGUGGGGAUGACGUCAAAUCAUCAUGCCCCUUAUGUCUAGGGCUACACACGUGCUACAAUGGCAAGUACAAAGAGAAGCAAUACUGUGAAGUGGAGCAAAACUCAAAAACUUGUCUCAGUUCGGAUUGUAGGCUGAAACUCGCCUACAUGAAGCUGGAGUUGCUAGUAAUCGCGAAUCAGAAUGUCGCGGUGAAUACAUUCCCGGGUCUUGCACACACCGCCCGUCA